rnacentral:rRNA from 1 species
GAUGAACGCUGGCGGCGUGCCUAAUACAUGCAAGUCGAGCGAACAGACGAGGAGCUUGCUCCUCUGACGUUAGCGGCGGACGGGUGAGUAACACGUGGAUAACCUACCUAUAAGACUGGGAUAACUUCGGGAAACCGGAGCUAAUACCGGAUAAUAUAUUGAACCGCAUGGUUCAAUAGUGAAAGACGGUUUUGCUGUCACUUAUAGAUGGAUCCGCGCCGCAUUAGCUAGUUGGUAAGGUAACGGCUUACCACGGCAACGAUGCGUAGCCGACGUGAGAGGGUGAUCGGCCACACUGGAACUGAGACACGGUCCAGACUCCUACGGGAGGCAGCAGUAGGGAAUCUUCCGCAAUGGGCGAAAGCCUGACGGAGCAACGCCGCGUGAGUGAUGAAGGUCUUCGGAUCGUAAAACUCUGUUAUUAGGGAAGAACAAAUGUGUAAGUAACUAUGCACGUCUUGACGGUACCUAAUCAGAAAGCCACGGCUAACUACGUG